rnacentral:rRNA from 1 species
GAUCGAACCNAGAAGGACCUUGCUCCUUUGACGUAAGCGGCGGACGGGUGAGUAACACGUGGGCAACCUACCUUAUAGUUUGGGAUAACUCCGGUGAAACCGGGGCUAAUACCGAAUAAUCUAUUUCACUUCAUGGUGAAAUACUGAAAGACGGUUUCGGCUGUCGCUAUAAGAUGGGCCCGCGGCGCAUAAGCUAGUUGGUGAGGUAACGGCUCACCAAGGCGACGAUGCGUAUCCGACCUGAGAUGGUGAUCGGCCAUUCUGGGACUGAUACACGGCCCAUACUCCUACGGGAGGCAUCAGUAGGGAAUCUUCCACAAUGGGCGAAAGCCCGAUGGAGCAACGCCGCGUGAGUGAAUAAGGUUUUCGGAUCGUAAAACUCUGUUGUAAGGGAAGAACAAGUACAGUAGUAACUGGCUGUACCUUGACGGUACCUUAUUAGAAAGCCACGGCUAACUACGUGCCAUCAGCCGCGGUAAU